AACUCCCAAACCCAUGUGAACAUACCUAACGUUGCCUCGGCAGGUCGCACCUACCUUGUAGCACCCUACCCUGUAGGGCCUACCCGGGAGGUGCGGGUAAGCCUGCCGGCGGCCCACCAAACUCUGUUUGAUAUUGAAUUCUGAACCUAUAACUAAAUAAGUUAAAACUUUCAACAACGGAUCUCUUGGUUCUGGCAUCGAUGAAGAACGCAGCGAAAUGCGAUAAGUAAUGUGAAUUGCAGAAUUCAGUGAAUCAUCGAAUCUUUGAACGCAUAUUGCGCCCAUUAGUAUUCUAGUGGGCAGGACCGUUCGAGCGUCAUUUCAACCCUUAAGCCUUCGUUGCUUAGUGUUGGGAGCCUACGGCAACGUAGCUCCUCAAAGUUAGUGGCGGAGUUGGUUCACACUCUAGACGUAGUAAUUUUUUAUCUCGCCUAUUAGUUGGACUAAUCCCCUGCCGUAAAACCCCCAAUUUAUCAAGGUUGACCUCGAAUCGGUUCAGACAAACUCGCUAAAUUGAAGCAUCUUAGUCAGCGAAGGAAAAGAAACCAACAGGGAUUGCCCUAGUAACGGCGAGUGAAGCGGCAACAGCUCAAAUUUGAAAUCUGGCCCUCGGGUCCGAGUUGUAAUUUGUAGAGGAUGCUUUUGGCGCGGUGCCUUCCGAGUUCCCUGGAACGGGACGCCUUAGAGGGUGAGAGCCCCGUACGGUUGGACACCAAGCCUCUGUAAAGCUCCUUCGACGAGUCGAGUAGCUUGGGAAUGCUGCUCUAAAUGGGAGGUAAAUUUCUUCUAAAGCUAAAUAUUGGCCAGAGACCGAUAGCGCACAAGUAGAGUGAUCGAAAGAUGAAAAGCACUUUGAAAAGAGGG
rnacentral:rRNA from 1 species